GGUUCAAUGGUCUAGUGGUUAUGAUUUCUGUCUUACACAAUCGGCACAGAAGGUCUCCGGUUCGAACCCGGGUUGAACCA